ACACUGUCUCUUUUAUUUUCUUUUUAAUUUACUUAAGGAAUGCAAAUUUUCCUAAUUUAAAUAAUAGACGAGAAGACCCUUAGAAUUAUAAUAAUAAGUAUUACAUUAAUACCUUUUUUUUGUUGGGGCAACAGAAUAACAAUCUUUUAAAUUAUUUACAAGCUAGAAGACAAGCCGAAAUUUUUUAUCGUUGAUUUAAUUACCUUAGGGAUAACAGCAUAAUUUUUUAAAAAAGUUUGUGACCUCGAUGUUGG
rnacentral:rRNA from 1 species